rnacentral:rRNA from 1 species
UACGUAGGAGGCAAGCGUUGUCCGGAGUUACUGGGCGUAAAGCGCACGCAGGCGGUCCAAUCAGUCUGCAGGGACAGGGCAUAGCUUAACUGUGUCAGGCCUGUGGAAACUGUUGGACUUGAGGGCUUCAGAGGGAUGGGGAAUUCCGGGUGGAGUGGUGAAAUGCGUAGAGAUCCGGAAGAACACCAAAGGCGAAGGCACCAUCCUGGGGAGUCACUGACGCUCGGGUGCGAAAGCUAGGGGAGCGAACGGG